UACGGAGGGGGCUAGCGUUGUUCGGAAUUACUGGGCGUAAAGCGCACGUAGGCGGUUUCCCAAGUCGGGCGUGAAAGCCCAGAGCUCAACUCUGGAAUUGCGCUCGAGACUGGGUGACUGGAGUCCGGGAGAGGGUAGCGGAAUUCCCAGUGUAGAGGUGAAAUUCGUAGAUAUUGGGAAGAACACCGGUGGCGAAGGCGGCUACCUGGACCGGUACUGACGCUGAGGUGCGAAAGCGUGGGGAGCAAACAGG
rnacentral:rRNA from 1 species